rnacentral:rRNA from 1 species
AUGCUUAGGGCUGUUUUGAAGAAUAAUAAGAAAAUGUGGGAGGAAUGCUUGCCUCAUAUUGAAUUUGCUUAUAAUCGUUCAUUGCAUUCUACUACUAAGAUGUGCCCUUUUGAAGUUGUGUAUGGUUUCUUACCUCGUGCACCUAUUGAUUUGUUGCCUCUUCCAUCUUCGGAGAAGGUUAAUUUUGAUGCUAAACAACGUGCUGAAUUGAUUUUAAAAAUGCAUGAGUUAACUAAGGAAAACAUUGAGCGUAUGAAUGCUAAAUAUAAACUUGCUGGAGAUAAGGGUAGAAAACAUGUUGUCUUUGCACCUGGAGAUCUUGUUUGGUUACAUUUGCGUAAGGAUAGGUUUCCUGAUUUGCGCAAAUCAAAGCUAAUGCCAUGUGCUGAUGGUCCUUUUAAGGUGUUGGAGAAAAUAAAUGAUAAUGCAUAUAAACUUGAGCUGCCUGCAGAUUUUGGGGUUAGUCCCACUUUUAACAUUGCAGAUUUGAAGCCUUAUUUGGGUGAGGAAGAUGAGCUUCCAUCGAGGACGACUUCAUUUCAAGAAGGGGAGGAUGAUGAGGACAUCAAUACCAUUGUUACACCCACAGCUCCUGCUGCUAUACAUACUAGACCAAUUACUAGAGCUCGCGCAUGCCAAUUAAAUUACCAGGUACUUUCGUUUCUUGGUAAUGAUUCUAAUGUUCAUGAGAAUAUGAUGCUGCCUAAAUUGGAUACAUUUGUUUUGCUUACAAAUGAAGGGCCUAGCUUGGAGAAGGAUGGACAUUGGAGCAAGAACAAGCAUGGAGAUGAUGGCAUGCGCAAGAGGAACAAGAACGGAGUUACAAGUGAUGAUUGCAGGACGUUGAAGCCACCAUAA